rnacentral:lncRNA from 1 species
GAUUGACCCACUGGGUUGGCAGGGAGGGCGGUCAGCUGCCUGCCCCCAGUAUGUGAAGCAUCUGGGGCCUGAGCCGGCUGGUGGCCUGCCAUCAUGCCCGUCUGCACCUGUGGCUGCGUAGGAGGGUGUGCAGGCCCGGCUGGCUGGGCACUGACAUUGGGGGAGGCUCAAGGACAAUGACACAGAGAGAGCCCUUCUUGGGACUCUGGGAGCUGCCACUCCAAGCCGUCCUCCCCGUUCUCCUCCCCCUCCUCCCUGGGGUUUCCUCCGCAGUUCCUCCUUCCUUCCUGCCCUUCCUCUCUCCUUCCCUUUCCUGGAGUCUCCUGGUAGCUCCCUCUCUGACUUUUCCUCGCCUGUAUCUUGACCAUCUUCCAGGUCCCUUCUUCCUUCCUCUCCCUCUGCAGGGGGGCAGCCCCCGCUCUGUCUCUGAUUCCUGAGAUGCCUGCUUGCCUUCUUCCUUGGAUCCCAGCGUCUUGGCUCUUCGUGGCACCUCUGCUACUCCACAGCCUCGGUCCCUCUCACUCUGCACGGGCAUGUCUAGUUCCUUCUGCCUCCUGGUCCCCUGCUCCCUUCCACUUGAGAGCCCCCCUUCCCGAGGAUCUCCACCUCCCUUCUUCCAGCUCCUUGGAACUCCUUAGCCCCUCACUGCCUGCUUGCCCUGGCAGGCCUUGACCCAGGCAGUGUCUGUGGCUGGUGCUGUUACCCAGUACCUCCACAACCCCCACUCCUGUGAGUUGAGAAAGGGGUCAACUCGGGGCCCAGGGACUGGCAGCCUUGCUUCCUAAUUAGCAGGAAGUAAUUGCCUGGAAAAAAAAAUUUCAUUUAGAAUGAGACUCCAAGACUCCAAGUUAAAGCUGAGCCAGCUGAUGGGCCCUGGGGAGCAGGAGGGCAAAGCAGCCCUGGUCAUGGCCUCAGGAAGCCCCUUAGGAGAUGAAGGUCUCUAGGACUCCCUGCCCAGCAUACCCUUAGGACCCCUGCCUUGGACAAGUGGGAAGCAAGCCCUGGGCUGGCAGUCCCGCCAUCUUCAGCUGAGGUUUGUCUGAUUGCUCAUGGCGACUUGGGAGAGC